GCUGAGCCACCACCAGUCCUCCGUUCCCGAGCUGGUUCGUCGCCGCCGUCCGUCGUCCUGCUGUUGCAGCACCUCCGGAGGCAAGCCGAGCCGCAGAGCCGAUCCCGGAGGACGACCAGCUAGAGCCUGCUGACCAGGAGCCUGACGUCGAGGAGGAGUACGUGAGUGAAGAGGAUCCUGACUUUGUGCCCGAUGAGUAGCGCGUUCCUACACCCAAGUCCCCUGUGGUGCCAUUGUGUUGUAGCAGACGCCAUGUCCGAUGAGGAGCUCGCAGUCGCGUUCUUCGCCACCACUAUUUUAUUUCUAGUUUCUAUUAUCGUAUUAUUAGAAUGUACUAAAUAAAAGCCUUGUAUUUUAUGGCACCACUUGAGCAUUUUAC